AUUGAACGCUAGCGGGAUGCCUUACACAUGCAAGUCGAACGGAGUGGCGAACGGGGGAGGAAUGUAACGGUACGUGCCCAUUCGCGGUGGAUGACUACGACUACGCGUAGCUAAUACCACAUCCUCUUGCAGCGGGCGAUAUCGGAGUAGCUAGAUGGUGGGGUAACGGCUCACCAAGGCGACGGUCCGUAGCUGGUUUGAGAGGACGACCAGCCACACUGGGACUGAGACACGGCCCAGACUCCUACGGGAGGCAGCAGUGGGGAAUUUUGGACAAUGGGGGAAACCCUGAUCCAGCCAUCCCGCGUGUGUGAUGAAGGCCUUCGGGUUGUAAAGUACUUUUGGCAGGAAAGCGGUACCUGCAGAAUAAGCACCGGCUAACUACGUGCCAGCAGCCGCGGUAAUAC
rnacentral:rRNA from 1 species